rnacentral:rRNA from 1 species
UGCGUAGGCGGUCCCGCAAGUCCGUUGUGAAAGCCCCGGGCUUAACCUGGGAAUGGCAGUGGAAACUAGGGGACUUGAAUCUGGCAGAGGGGGGUGGAAUGCCACGUGUAGCAGUGAAAUGCGUAGAGAUGUGGCGGAACACCGAUGGCGAAGGCAGCCCCCUGGGCUGAGAUUGACGCCCAGGCACGAAAGCGUGGGGAGCAAACAGGAUUAGAUACCCUGGUAGUCCACGCUCUAAACGAUGAUCACUAGGUGUUGGGGAAGCGAUUUCUCAGUACCGCAGCUAACGCGUGAAGUGAUCCGCCUGGGGAGUACGGUCGCAAGAUUAAA